CUGGCAAAGCAUCUGUUGACCCAUGUUGUCUCUUGCUGUCACUCUUCGUCCUUGAACGAGAAAACGUGUACCCAUUUGUGGGGUCCAUUCAUCUUUGCUGAAGGCCUAUUCAUGUCUUCUUGUUAAAACAUUGUAGCGGUAACAUUAGACAAAUGACCUAGGAGUGUCCAGGUCUCUUUUCAAUGGCCGUAAGGCAGCCUGGUCUGGCCCAAAUCUUGUGACAAUAAAAUGCAUGACUGCACCCCAUUUCCCAUGUGUUGCAUGGCAACAAAAAUUUAUUAAUGCAACCAAGCUGUUGUAAGGAGGCCUUUUUAACCAUUUCUUUCUGAGACAUGCACAAAUGUUGAUGGCAACCUGGUUUCCCAGUGACAUGAUUCUAUUUCUAGGUUUUAUUUUUUCAUCACAUAACUGUUGAACAUCUCGUGUGCGAUGCCUACAUGCAGGGCUAAGAGAACGGCAACCCGAUGGCCUCUGACCCAUCAUCACCAUCUCUGUCCACCUCUCUGUCCUGCUGCUUCACUGAAAAAAUACAAGAAAGAAAAAGAAACAUUGCUGACAGGAGCUCAUGGAGAUCCAAUUCAAUGCAGUUACAUUUCUGAAAGAACAGGAUGCCAUCUAAAGAGAAAAUGAGAUCAUUGGUACCAGGGGCGUAGUGCACCAAAACAUUUUGAGGGGGUACAAACUCAAAUAGUGGAUGUUUUAUGUCCAUCCAUACAUCUAUCCAUCAUCUAACACACCUAUUCCUGGUCAGGGUCACAGGGGGUUCCAGAGUGUAUGCCAGCCCGCAUUGGGCAAGAGGCAGAAAUACAUCCUGGAGUGGUCACCAAUACUUUGCAGAGCACAUACACCAUUCACUCACUCACUCAUACCUAGGGGCAAUUUAUACUCUCCAAUUAAGAAGAAACCGGAGUUGGUUUAUGUCCUCAAUGCAAUUUAUUUCCCCCUCAUUUGUUUCUCCUAUUUUAUUGCUGAGAGUGAUAGUAUUACACUUCCAACAGUAAAAACACUUGACCUAAAACACUAAGUAGUUCAACAACAUAUUGUACUAAAUGUGGUUCUGUAAAUCUAUCAGGACAGCAGUGAUAGUAUUUAGUUCACAUUAAUUAGCAAAGCUGAGAGAAGAGUAAGUGGAUCUAUACUCUGCAUCUGAAUCCCAUACUUUCGAGGAGAUGAAGAACUAAAUGGGCCUACAUGCAUCCCUCAUUCUCCCUCAGUAGCAAUGAUGAUAAGGUCAAGAAAAAAUGGACAAAGAAGAUAAAGCCAAGCACAGCAUCAACACUCUAUUUUCUCUAAAAAUCCCUGCCCUGUCACAUUAGCUAGCUACCGACCUAAACUAGAUAACAUUAUUUGAUGAGCAAUGAUACAAAGCUUUGAAUAACUAGCUACAGCAACAUCUGAAAAAACAUAGCCACACAGUAAAAUGUCCAGUGUUAAUUCAACUCUAACAGUGUUAAUUCGACUCUUAACAGAUUGGUCUUACUCUAGAAUAUUGGACCAAAUGUUAUCUGUAGUGUCCUUCAUUGCCUCAGCCACCUGGUCUUAGGCAUUUAUAAUACGCAUACACCAGAUUGGUCUGUAUGAUAGGCUAUUUGCUUUAGUAAGAGCUUACCUGGGUUUUAAGAAACAAAGAAAAGCAGCUUUCCUCAUUGAUUUUGAAUGGUACCACAACUCAUUUCACAGUAUGUUAAGUCACUUUUCAUCUUUAUUUCAUGAAUAAAGCCCCAUGCUGAUGAUGAGGCUGAUCGCAUGUUAAUCAGUGUUUCCUUGAUUAACAUUAGUAUGUGCAGAAAAAACCGGCAUAUGCUCAUAUUAUAGGGUGUUUUUAUUUACUGUUAAAAUUGUUACAAUCAUACCGACUAUAGGUUGUAUAAAUGUAACAUUGGACUGUGUGUACUUUAGUACCGACUCAAUUAAGUUCCGAAAGUAAUUGAAGCGGCUAAUGACUACUGACAUGUCAAAGCUGUUUGAAGUAAAAUACUGCUCUUAAAUGUAUUACUGGUGACAAUUAUGAUACACAUACUGCAUCUUACAUAAAGAAAGCUGGUUGGCCCUCUUUCCACGAGGAGAGACCAGCAUAGGUUUUUGUUUGUCCUUCUCUGUAAACAACCCUUUUAUUUGUCAUCACUCUUGGUUUGGAAUAUUGAAAAUCACUACACAUGCUCUCAAUACUGCCUAAUGCUGCAUGUAUCUCAAGUCAACUUGGAACUCUGAAAAACUGCUUUUAAAGUAUGUGCCUCUCAUACCUGGAAUGGACGGCAAAAAUACUAAAAUUGAUUAUUUUGUAACAUACUGGUAAAUUUUGAUUUUCGAUUUUUUGGUUUUAUUGUAACUCGGCGCCAUUGCAAAUGAGGGUCCUACCCUCAAUGUGUCACAGUGAAUGUUAAA